UACGGAGGGUGCAAGCGUUGUCCGGAAUCACUGGGCGUAAAGGGCGCGUAGGCGGCUCAUGAAGGCUGUGGUGAAAUCCCCGGGCUCAACCUGGGAAUUGCGAUGGAGACUGCAAGGCUAGAAUCUGGCAGAGGGGGGUAGAAUUCCACGUGUAGCAGUGAAAUGCGUAGAUAUGCGGAGGAACACCGAUGGCGAAGGCAAUCCCCUGGGCCUGCACUGACGCUCAUGCACGAAAGCGUGGGGAGCAAACAGG
rnacentral:rRNA from 1 species